CGAAGGAUGCGAGCGUUAUCCGGAUUCAUUGGGUUUAAAGGGAGCGUAGGUGGCCUUAUAAGUCAGUGGUGAAAUCUCUCGGCUUAACCGAGAAAUUGCCAUUGAUACUGUAGGGCUUGAGUAUAGUUGCCGUUGGCGGAAUAUGACAUGUAGUGGUGAAAUACAUAGAGAUGUCAUAGAACACCGAUUGCGAAGGCAGCUAACGAAACUAUAACUGACACUGAGGCUCGAAAGUGCGGGGAUCAAACAGGAUUAGAUACCCUGGUAGUCCGCACUGUAAACGAUGAUUACUCGCUGCUAGAUGGCAACAUUUAGUGGCUUAGCGAAAGCGAUAAGUAAUCCACCUGGGGAGUACGCCGGCAACGGUG
rnacentral:rRNA from 1 species